rnacentral:tRNA from 1 species
GCCGAGGUAGCUCAGCUGGUAGAGCAACGGUUUUGUAAACCGUAGGUCGUGGGUUCAAACCCCAUCCUCGGCU